rnacentral:rRNA from 1 species
GACGGAAGGUGCAAGCGUUGCUCGGAAUCACUGGGCGUAAAGGGUGCGUAGGCGGCUUGGUGGGUCUGAUGUGAAAGCCCUGGGCUCAACCCAGGAAGUGCAUUGGAUACUGGGAGACUUGAAUACGGGAGAGGGUAGUGGAAUUCCUAGUGUAGGAGUGAAAUCCGUAGAUAUUAGGAGGAACACCGGUGGCGAAGGCGGCUACCUGGACCGAUAUUGACGCUGAGACGCGAAAGCGUGGGGAGCAAACAGG